CCUACGGGUGGCAGCAGUGGGGAAUAUUGGACAAUGGGGGGAACCCUGAUCCAGCCAUGCCGCGUGUGUGAAGAAGGCCCUCGGGUUGUAAAGCACUUUCAGUGAGGAAGAACGCCUGGUGGUUAAUACCCAUCAGGAAAGACAUCACUCACAGAAGAAGCACCGGCUAACUCCGUGCCAGCAGCCGCGGUAAUACGGAGGGUGCGAGCGUUAAUCGGAAUUACUGGGCGUAAAGCGCGCGUAGGUGGCUUGAUAAGCCGGUUGUGAAAGCCCCGGGCUCAACCUGGGAACGGCAUCCGGAACUGUCAAGCUAGAGUGCAGGAGAGGAAGGUAGAAUUCCCGGUGUAGCGGUGAAAUGCGUAGAGAUCGGGAUGAAUACCAGUGGCGAAGGCGGCCUUCUGGACUGACACUGACACUGAGGUGCGAAAGCGUGGGUAGCAAACAGGAUUAGAUACCCCUGUAGUC
rnacentral:rRNA from 1 species